rnacentral:rRNA from 1 species
GACGAACGCUGGCGGCGUGCCUAAUACAUGCAAGUAGAACGCUGAAGAGAGGAGCUUGCUCUUCUCUGCUGAGUUGCGAACGGGUGAGUAACGCGUAGGUAACCUGCCUUGUAGCGGGGGAUCACUAUUGGAAACGAUAGCUAAUACCGCAUAACAAUGGAUGACACAUGUCAUUUAUUUGAAUGGGGCAAUUGUUCCACUACAAGAUGGACCUGCGUUGUAUUAGCUAGUAGGUGAGGUACUGGCUCACCUAGGCGACGUUACAUAGCCGACCUGAGCGGGUGGGCGGCCAGCCUGGGACGGAGACACGGCCCAGAGGCCUACGGAGAGGAGCAGUAGGGAAUCGUCGGGAAUGGGGGCAACCCUGUCCGAGAUACGCCGAGGGCGUAAGGAGCGUUUUCGGAUCGGAAAGCUCGGUUGUAAGUCAAGAACGGGUGUUAGAGUGGAAAGUUCACACAGUGACGGUAGCUGACCAGAAAGGGACGGCUAACUACGUG